rnacentral:tRNA from 2 species
GCCAGUGUAGCUUAAAUAAAGCAUGACACUGAAGAUGUCAAGAU